rnacentral:lncRNA from 1 species
UCAGCAACUCUUCAUGUGGGUUCUUCCCUUCCCCCUUUCAAAACUUGCAAUUAACCCUGGUGAUUCAGAGCAAACUGCGUAGAGUAUGCAAGAUACAGGGAAACACUGAAUCCUGGGGCUGACAGUUUACAUCCUGGCUGUUUACCAAGUCCAUCUUGAAAAUCUUACUGUGAUUCAUGAAUAUAAGUAUUCAAUAUCUUUCACUGUAUCUAUGCCCACUAUUGAGCAGGUCUAUAUUUUCAGUCCUGUUCUAUAUGCUAUUUACAAUGAUCGUCAAACACACUUAAGCAAUUCCUUUUUAUUCCUCAUGCAAUGGGAAGUAAGCAAAAAUUCCAUGAGGUUCAUUUUAUGAAGCAAUAAAAGAAAGUUAGUCAUCAAAUAAAAUAAAAUGGUAAAAUCAA